rnacentral:rRNA from 1 species
UACGUAGGUGGCAAGCGUUGUCCGGAUUUACUGGGCGUAAAGCGUAUGCAGGCGGGUUUUUUAGUAGAAGGUGGAAGGGUGGGGCGCAACCCCGACGCUGCUCUCUAUACUGGAAGCCUUGAGUAUCGGAGAGGAAGAGGGAACUGCACGUGUAGCGGUGAUAUGCGUUGAGAUGUGCAGGAACACCAAUGGCGAAAGCACUCUUCUGGACGGUUACUGACGCUGAGAUACGAAAGCCAAGGGAGCGAACAGG